rnacentral:rRNA from 1 species
CGGGGUGAGUAAUGCUUGGGAAUCUGGCUUAUGGAGGGGGAUAACUACGGGAAACUGUAGCUAAUACCGCGUAGUGUCGAGAGACGAAAGUGCGGGACCGAAAGGCCGCAUGCCAUGAGAUGAGCCCAAGCGGGAUUAGGUAGUUGGUGGGGUAAAGGCCUACCAAGCCUGUGAUCUCUAGCUGGUCUGAGAGGAUGGCCAGCCACACUGGAACUGAGACACGGUCCAG